UCCUCACCUUCUCCCAGGUUCCUGAUCUGGAGCGGGAGGGAGGCCAGGCUACCCUUGACACGCAUAUGUGGAAUGUUCUCACUAUCAACUCUGGAAUAACUAGCAAGUAGUGGUGUCAAUGGCAUCCGUGGGAGACAUUUUGGUGGCACAUGGACAUCACGUUCUGGAAUAAAGCCAUGGAACAAUAAAUAACUUGGCAACGGAUACCCUGUGGUCUACAAUUAUACUGUAAUUAUGUGUGCACUUUGGAUCUAUUGGAUGUCUAAAUGUAUUGUUAAUCGACAACUACUGAUGCAAAGAUAUGUUCUAUUUGUAAUAUGAAAUGAUUCUUAUUUGUACCUCCAGCAGUCCUUCUCACAUUUUCUAUUUGUAAUAUGAAAUGAUUCUUAUUUGUACCUCCAGCACUCUUCUAUCGCUCCUUUUAGAACUAAUGACAUAAAAAAUGUGGUCUGGAGUCUGGUCGUGUUUGAACAAAGUUGGUCAGAAUGAUAUAGUUGUUUUCUUCAAGUUCAUUAUAUUAAUUUUUUCAGUAUAUAGAUUAUUUAUUUGUUCACACAAUACAUGGCAGGAG